rnacentral:sRNA from 1 species
UUCUCAGGAAUUGAGGGAAUGGCUGAGCUCAACGACUGUGAUCCCCGGUCUAUCCACGUGCGGGAGGAUGGGUCCCUGGAGAUUGGAGACACAACAACUUUCUCUCGGUACUUGCGUGGUGGGGCUAUCACUGAAGUCAAGAGACCCAAGACUGUGAGACAUAAGUCCCUGGACACAGCCCUGCUCCAGCCCCAUGUGGUGGCCCAGAGCUCCCAGGAAGUUCACCGUGCCCACUGCCUGCAUCAGGCCUUCCGUGCACUGCACAAGUUCCAGCACCUCCAUGGCCGGCCACCCCACCCCUGGGAUCCUGUGAGUAGCCCUGUUGCUCCCACCCCCAGCCUCUGUCAUUUAUUGGGGUCCCACCUGCCAGAGGCAACAAUGACCGUUCAUAAAUCCAAGUUUGAUCUCCCAACACUGCAGCUUUUAGAUUAGAGACUGGUUCCAUGGAAGUGCCAGGCACACAUCCUGGGGACUCCUGCUACACCCCGACCCCUCAGAUCUGUGCUGGAAGCUGCACUCAGAUUAGUGAAGCCUCUUGGUCUGCUGUCUGGUACUGGGCAUCCUCUGGUGGUGCUGUGCAGGCUGGCAGCAGCGCCAGGCCUUCCCACCCAGGCUUCUGCUUCCUCUUCUGUGGAACAGGGUGGAUGGAGGGUGGCUGGAAGGAUCUGAGUCAGGAGUAGAGCUCAGGCUGGGGCUACUAUGCCCACAGAGUCCUACCAACAGGUUGAUGCAGAGACCGUGGUGGGCCUGGCCCGGGACCUGGAACCACUGAAGCGGACAGAGGAAGAGCCACUGGAACAGCCACUGGA